rnacentral:tRNA from 1 species
UGCAUCGGCCGGGAAUCGAACCUGGGCCGCCCGCGUGGCAGGCGAGUAUUCUACCACUGAACCACCGAUGC